UACGAAGGGGGCUAGCGUUGUUCGGAAUUACUGGGCGUAAAGCGUAUGCAGGCGGAUCGUUAAGUCGGGGGUGAAAUCCCGAGGCUCAACCUCGGAACUGCCUUCGAUACUGGCGACCUUCGAGUCCGGGAGAGGUGAGUGGAACUCCGAGUGUAGAGGUGAAAUUCGUAGAUAUUCGGAAGAACACCAGUGGCGAAGGCGGCUCACUGGCCCGGUACUGACGCUGAGGAGCGAAAGCCAGGGGAGCAAACGGG
rnacentral:rRNA from 1 species